rnacentral:lncRNA from 1 species
GAGUAAACACACUGGCCCAUAAUGCUUGAAUAGAGUGGAGUACUAACCUGAUCAACUGGAGUCUUCCAGCAAAUGAAAGAAACCGCUGAGCCCAAGUCUAAACUCUAGCUGUGAUCCGGUCAAUAAGUGCAAUACAGUCCGUUUUACCAAGCCUUGAAGAAAUAAUCGGGACUCCCAGAUAGCGUACUGGAAGCUUCCCUUCC